rnacentral:rRNA from 1 species
GAUGAACGCUGGCGGCGUGCCUAAUACAUGCAAGUCGAACGCUGAAGGAAGGAGCUUGCUCUUUCCGGGUGAGUUGCGAACGGGUGAGUAACGCGUAGGUAACCUGCCUGGUAGCGGGGGAUAACUAUUGGAAACGAUAGCUAAUACCGCAUAACAGUAGAUGUUGCAUGAUAUCUACUUAAAAGGUGCAAUUGCACCACUACCAGAUGGACCUGCGUUGUAUUAGCUAGUUGGUGAGGUAACGGCUCACCAAGGCGACGAUACAUAGCCGACCUGAGAGGGUGAUCGGCCAGACUGGGAGGGGGACACGGCCCAGACGGCCACGGGAGGCAGCAGGAGGGAAUCUUCGGCAAUGGACGGAAGUCUGACCGAGCAACGCCGCGGGAGGGAAGAAGGUUGUCGGAUCGUAAAGCUCGGUUGUAAGAGAAGAACGAGUGUGAGAGUGGAAAGUUCACUGUGUGACGGUAUCUUAUCAGAAAGGGACGGCUAACUACGUG